AUUGAACGCUGGCGGCAUGCUUUACACAUGCAAGUCGAACGGCAGCGCGGGCUUCGGCCUGGCGGCGAGUGGCGAACGGGUGAGUAAUGCAUCGGAACGUGCCCAGUAGUGGGGGAUAGCCCGGCGAAAGCCGGAUUAAUACCGCAUACGACCUGAGGGUGAAAGCGGGGGACCGAAAGGCCUCGCGCUAUUGGAGCGGCCGAUGUCGGAUUAGCUAGUUGGUGGGGUAAAUGCUUACCAAGGCGACGAUCCGUAGCUGGUCUGAGAGGACGACCAGCCACACUGGGACUGAGACACGGCCCAGACUCCUACGGGAGGCAGCAGUGGGGAAUUUUGGACAAUGGGGGCAACCCUGAUCCAGCCAUGCCGCGUGCGGGAAGAAGGCCUUCGGGUUGUAAACCGCUUUUGUUCGGGAAGAAAUCCUCUGGGCUAAUACCCCGGGGGGAUGACGGUACCGGAAGAAUAAGCACCGGCUAACUACGUG
rnacentral:rRNA from 1 species